UACUUAAAAACUCGUAUAUGCCGAGAAUAAGUUGGAGUUGCUAGUCGAUAGUCGCGCUAAACAGUUGAAGUGAUAAGGGUUAAAUUAUUCUUGCAAUACCGAUUGCAUUUGAGUAUCCAAUAGAAAAGAGAUUUCAAACAUUAUUCUAACUAUCGUGAUGGAAAAUGGUCCAGAAAAUAGCAGACAAGGAGGCUGCGAGAUACUGCGAGAUAUCAAGCACAGAUUCGGCUGGCUGCGCUGGUUUAAUGGCGAUUUCAUGCAGAACAGGCCGAAGAAAUCCUCGAAGGUUCGCACGAGCGGUAAAUAUCGCGGGGGCGUACGAACCUGCGCUCAGGUUCGCCUCUCUUCACCUCCGCACCCUGCUUUCGCACCCGCCAUUGCUAACCCCUCCUACGGGGUAGGUUUCGCAUCCCCGCCUCGCGUCUGUCGCCUCGUCGACUGCUUCGUCGACUGGCGUCAGCGCCGUCAACGUCGUCGUCGGCGUCGUCGUCUGAUCCUUGUCGACAUAAGUUCCGGCGACGAUAGAUCAGACGGAAGCGAAAUCGCACACGCACACGGCGAAAUCGCGUCCUCUCCCGCGCAUAUCGCAAGCACCCUCGCGCACUCGCGCUGCGCUCGGAAAAAUACCGGAAGUGCGGGGAGACUCGGUACGCUCGAGCGAUUUAGUGUUACUUGUUCUAUUGCUGUUAAUGAGUGUUUUUUCAAAAUAAAAAAAAAUAAGCGUUACCAAAAAUUUAAAACGGUCCUAAACGAGCGAACUGAUUUCAAAAGCUGUGAUUCUCGAUCUCGGUGGUGGUUUACAUCCUUGUCACGUGGCAAAUGUGUGAUGAAAACGCGUCGCAUGGCUGACCCAAGGUGAGUACAUUCGACAUGAUAUCCUGGUACAGUACCGUGAAGCCAUAAAUUUCGUAAGUAGCCGCCAUAAGAUUACGAGUAUUAUAUUUUGUAGGUAACAUAUAGGCUUUUACGCUGCUUGUCAGUAUGAGCUCGCUGUUUACGACUUUGCAUCAUAAUCUCGAAGAAUGCUCGGCAAUCUCUCAGAGCAACCUGAGAGUGCUUUAUAAAUGUCAGUCUCAUUCUGCACGCUAUCACAAUGUUUAUAUUACGAGAUAUCUUUUACAUCAGAGAAAGUUAUUCCAACGCGAGUUUCAUAAACAAAUAAUUAUUGUCAUUUAUUUUCUCUCAUUGUCACGCUGCAUACACAUCUCGAUUCUAAUAUGCGUAAACUCGUGCAAUUUAUAUUAACUCACAAUGAUGCAUUGUUUUGUACUCUAUAAAGGAAAAUCUUACAUUUUUUUUCUUUAUAAAAGGGACUUUUGAUUGCGAAAAUUGGACAAAGUUUGAAAAAUUUCGACAAAUUUCCAUUACUCUGCGAAUAAUCAAUCACACUUUGCAGUAUUAUAAAACAUUAUUUUCUUUGAUCCUGCAAGAAGAUAGUCUUUCUCUCUAUAGUCUUUAGUCUCAUAAUCUUAGCUAUUUUCUGAUUUUAUUUGUUGAUGUAAAAUCCAAUUUUCAUGUCAUUCUUAUUGCAAAUAUGAGGUGAAUCGCCGCAGAGGUUGCUAGAUCUUGCAAAUGAUUUUAUAAUCUUGGCAGGCCCUCUGAUUUUAUUCCCCUGUCUUCCUGCAAGUAUAUCUGCACCUCGUAAAAGGCAAUUAAUCUCGCAAUUAAUGCCGAAUGUUACCAUCGCGAAGGUUAUCCAAAGGGUUAUCCUAACGCCGUUAGGUCUCUAAUAAGUAUCUCCGGUGAUGUGGCAGACGCGGAUAUGUUAAUAAAUCGGUUGGCAAUGCCUGGUUAAUUUGCAUACUAUGUGAGCUGAACGUAAUUUAUCGCAUCUCGAGGAACUUUGUAACGCGUGACAAACUUUAUGAACGUAGACUUUUCAACUUUUAACGAUUAAACGUUAACCAUAAUUCAAGUCGUAAUUCAAAGGUUUUUUUACAACGAUUCGAUAUAUCAUAUUCAAGUAUAUUCUCCACGAUAUGGAGCUUUAAUGCAAACAGGACUUGACACGCAUCUCCUUCAUUAUAAUUUAAAUUAAACUCGCAUUAAAAGUUAUUUUUCACUCUAACGAGUUGCGUUAAUGAUAAUGUCAUGAGUGAGUGCAAUAUUACGCUACCUUUCAUCGUAAAAUCUUUUGACGUGAUUAAUUGAAAAUAAAUAAUCUAUUUCUAAAACCAUUAAUAAUACGUUGAUGACCUUAGUAAUAAAAGUGUAAGUGUUUUAUCGGUUGUCAUCUCAAGCAACUUAAUCGAAUUGACAAUAAUCAUGUAACAGUAUAAAUCACAAGCCGGGUGAUAGCGAAUACACGUCAAUGUAAAUCGCCAGAAUAAGUCUUAUCAAAGACCGAUGAAUUUUUGACGCAUUUCGUCAGAUUGCAUGACGAAGAACAGCUCCGACUAAAUUAUUCCGAUGUAACUUUUUCACGCCGAGCAUGAACCAGCUGCAAACUUGUAAAGCAAUGUUCACAGAGAUGAAGGAAGCUACGAUAUGAUGUACUCCACAUACAUGCAGGACACGGAAAAGCAAUAUCGCAUGUUUCGUGUUCGUUUGGCGAUAUACAUGGAUAGGAAUCAAGCCGUUGUUUCCUCGCAAAUCUUCCGGAAUCCAAAUAGCUCGGAUCGAUUCGCUAGACACCUACCGUGGUAUUUCUUUACACAAGGUUCGCGAACGCGAUGUACCAUGUGUGUACCAUAACUUAUUAUCAAUUCGCGUUACUCGAGUGACUCACGCGAUCCCUCGCGUCGGUCGGCGAUAAUUCAUCGUUGCGAGUUGCUGGUUGCAAGGUGCAUGCCUCCUGCCGGAUACCUCUCGCGGAGGCAUAUAAAUACGUAAAUCGCCGCCGCGUUGCUGCAGUAUUUCCGGAUUAAUCUUGCGCCCGCUGGUUAAUACGUGCUUAGGAUACCGCGGCAUAUGCUGCCCGUGGCUUUAUGCAAAUUGUGCGAUAACAUGGAAUAGUGAGCAGAAGAGUUGAUACGCCUCGAGAAUAAAAAAAGAAUCCAAAGCUUGUUUUACACGAAAGUUUUACGUCCCUCACGUGUAUCUUAAAAACUGUUAUUUUCUAUUUAUAAUAAUUUGCUUAAUUUCGUUUUAGGAAUAAUGCAAAUAAAUUUAAUACUGACGAUCGGUUUUGCCAAAAUGGAUGAGAAGUAUUUUUCGUAUUCAUAUAUCAUCGAAAUUCAUAACGUUUAAUUAAACUAAAUUACUUUGAAAUUAUUAUCUUAAUGUUUGAUUGUCUUCUUAUUAUUUUAAUUCAACGGAGAUAUUAAAGUACAUAAUAAUACUCCUUAAUCAGCCAUGUCCGCUGUUGUCGAAUCAAGAUGACGAGAGAGAAUGAAGGAUUCGCGUGUGGGUUUCUCCGUACGAUGAAAUUUCUCACGGUGAUUUACAUGAUCAAAGGGCUCGUAGGCGGUUCGAAUAAAGAAAAUCGAAGGUCACGUAGGGAGGCGGAUGUAUCUUUGGACCUGUGGCAUGUGUGCAGGGAAAGCAGCACCUACGCGAUACGGACCGGCAUUCUAAAAAUACGGGCUUAUUUUAGUGAGGAAGGGACGUACCCGCGUGAAAACGACACGCUAAGUAGUAUACGGGCCGUUUAAGCCGCAGCAGGAAGGUCACGAUGCACUUCGAGGCUGUGCAUCAUCGUGAAGAACGUGAACAAGAUGCUAUCCAUCGCUGAAAACUGCAUCUCGCGUAAACUCAAAAAAUAUUGAAAAUGCACGAGUUAUAGCCGCUCGUACGGAACGUCGCAAGUUUAUUGCUCAUACGUUUACGAAUUCUUCGACGCUUUCGAUUUUUUUCCUCUCAGCAAACGUGUAACUUAAUUUAAGUACCAUGACUACCUCUUUUGUGUCACAAAAUUACAAAAAGUUUUAGCUUUAUAUCAUUAUGCUUUAUAGCAUUAUGUCUACGGAGAAAGUUAAUGGAAAAUUAAUAGAAAAUUAAUAUCCAAGGACAAAAAAAUUCCAUCUAAAGGUGUGAGCAUCUCUGAACCCGACAAUACUGAUAAUGAUAUCGAUCGUAUGGGAGAUCGCGUGUGUACACGUUCUCUUGUCCCCGCGUGGACGACGUGUCAGCGCGUGCGGCGCCGGUCGUCGUGACGCCCUCUACCGCAGACGAUGAAGAAAGAAAUAGAAAUAGAAAGGAGCGCAUCGUUAGUGUUUAAUUAUUUCUACCGCAGUGCUCGUCCCACAGACGUAGGAGCGACCGCAAAAAAUAAAAUUUUCUCCGACCGUGGUCGCUGUCUGAAUGAUAAUGAACAUUGAUAGAGAGUCAGCUUGAGAAGAAAUUUCUUUUAGAGCGUAAUUACAUCUCUGGUAAUAAGGGAAGCAAAUUCGCUCCUCUUUUUAUUAAAGAAGCGAGUAUUAAUGUUCUUGUGAAGUAAAAAAUAUUUCGACAAUCUUUACGUUUAUUUUUAUCCUUGUUAAAAAUAUUUAUACCGAGAAAAAUAAAAUACUUAUUUAUCUUUGAUGCUCACUAACAAUCAAGGCAUUCGACAUUGCUUAUUUAUCUUUUUAUAUAUUUAUAUUUUCAAGUUAAUAUUAUUUAUGCUUUGUCAGAAAAUAUUUAAGUUUUGCACUCAGAAAUUAUAGCUUUUAAGUGUAUUAAAACUUACAUUGUUUUUUUAUGCUUCUGCGAUGUAGGAUAUUAUCGUAAUUAUUUCCUCUUUAGGGAACUUUAGAAACUUGUUCCUCAAUUCCGAUCUAGACUUAUUUUGCUCCUUUCAUGUACGAGCUGUCAAAUCGUGUGAAGAACUUUUUAGAAGUACUGUAACGGCUCUUAUCCAAUUUUCGAUCGUUGGAAUCCCGUGCUGUUAACGGACGCUGAUCUCGUUCCCGUGGCUCUUCGGCUUUCUCGCCAAUCAGUGCGCCAAGCUAAUUUUAGCCUCUAUCGAUUCCCACCUGGUUGAAUUCGGGCUAGCCUUUUGGUCGAAUGCGAUGGAUGAUACCGCAUUUAACACUGACAGAUGAAUCGUGCAUCAUGGAAGAUUGGCGUGUUGUGUGUAUGUGAGGAACGUUAAUUACAUUAUAAACAUCUUUUAACUCCUGGAAAGCGAACUUUCUUUCGAUAACGAUAUUUUUAGCAUCUUUAUAUUGAUUGCUGCACAAAAUUCAAACUUAUUUUAACAUGCAAAGAAUUAGCGUGCACUUUGUGUAGAACACGAGCUUAUAGAGUGCAUAAAUUUUAGUUUUAUGGUAGCGAAAAGCAUAAUCAUGUCUUGUAUCUUGCAAAGUAAAAAUCUUGGAGUAUUAGAUCAUGGACUAUUAGAUCUUGGAAUAUUAGAUGUUGAAGUAAGAGAAGUCAUUACGGCAUCCCAGAGUUUUGAAGUCUUAGAAUCUUGGAAUCUUGAAACUUUGACAUCGAUGACAACUGCUGCGAAACCUUGAAACCCUAAAAGCCUGAGACUUCGAUUGGUUCAAACGUUACGACACUUCAUGCCUUCGAGUCUUGAAAUCUCGAAUACUUGGGACACUAACUUGGAAUGUAAUUUUUCAUAUUCUCUCUGUGUAAUACAGACAAAAUUUUUUUAUUAAAAAAAAUGAGAAAUAUCAAUUGGGAUACAUCAUCGUGAUUUGUUCGAAAGACAAAGCUAGUGCUAGCAGUUUUCUUAUUUGAUCUAUAAUAUCCAUAAUUUCGCUUCGAAAAAAUUAAAAAAUUUAUUGAUUGCCUUGUAUUUCUGCAACAAAUUGCAAUAGUAAUAAUAACAAUCUAAUAACAGCAAUAAUAAUAUAAUAAUAGCAACCUGCGAAAAGAAUAUGCUGCAACGGUUUUCGCAGAAACCGUCUUAUCUCGAGCAACCUAGAACAUUGCGUAAUGCUAUAAAUAAAUGAGCUACACUCUCGUUUAACAUUAUAUAUAUCAGCUGGUACGUACCCAGCAUAUCGAUCGAUGUCUCUGACACAACGUGCGUCGUUGUAAACAACCUGGACGCAGUGAAACGAGUCAGAGAUAAUUUCCGCUCUUUUCACGACGCUUUAGAAAGCUGAAUAUCACAUAAAUAGCAUCGACGUGUUGUUCGCUAAUGUGUAACCAGUCCCUGAAUUGUCGUUAAUCGAUCGCACCGAUAGUUAUCUUAGCGUAAAUUCGAUUCUAUGAGAAACCAUUAAUUAAGUUCGAUAAAAUUAGAAUUACACUCUCUAAUUAAAAAUAACGAAGAAUGAAUAUUUUUUGAAUAUACACGAAAUACUGUAAUGAAAAACAUUGAACGAUCGUUCAUUAUAUUACACAAGAACAAUUUAUCGCAGUAGAAUUCCUCGAUCUGGAUAUUAUUAUGCACAUAAAGCUUAUGCUGUUAAUGCAUAAAUAAGUAGCUAGCCAUUUCAAAAGCUUUUGUGACGCGGACAAGGUAAUUAAGAAAGUCCCUGCUUCUGAGAAAAGAUUUUCUGUGCUUUAAAAUAGCCCCAGGCGAUCCCAUUUCCAAUAAGUGGAACGAGCUUUCAUAAAUUAAUAAUCCUUUGGAAUUCAGCACGCAAAGCAGCAGCGUGCGCAACAUCUCUUCUCAUUAAAAUUGCAUUCCAUGUUUAUGUUUCCGCAGCCGGACGAUCCGCGCCAUUUCGUUUUACGGUAUACCCGAUGGUGUGUAACAUAGCACGAAAGUAAAUUUCAGGAGCUACCGGCCAUCGCUGAAAGAUUGAUCACAAGACCGAGAGAUGCAGCUUCGACAUAGCAUUUUCUGCUCAGUAUGCCACAAGUGUAAAUUCCUCAUCACGUUCGCACCUCGUGAAAAUGCAUCUCAAGGCGUCAAGAAAACGCCCCGGAAUUCGCUUACAAAAAAGUAAUAAAUUAAUAAAUGUAUUAAAAAUGUUGAGACACGUGUUCACGAGUUCCAAUGGUUAUUGAGACAAGCGCGAGAAAAAAGAAGUAAUUGUAGCCUUGCAGUGAUGAAAGUGAUACUAAAAAUAGAAAAAUAAAAAAAUUAACUUAAUAACGGAAGAACAAAUAUCUUGUGCAAGAAAUAUCACUUAUAUAAAAUUCUCGAAAUAUAUAAAAGCCACGUUAUCAUUUUUGUAAAUUUUAUAGCAGAAUUUCCUUAAAAAUUUCCUGUAAAUCGAAAUUAACUUGACUUUAUUAAUUCAGUAGAAUAGAAGAGAGACAGAAAAUAUAUUAUCUAAAUAUUCAGGCACGUUUAAUUUUUUGGUUAAGAAAUAAUUAAUAAAUUAUCAAAGGCGAUGCUGUCGGCACACGUCUCGCGAGUGCCAAGUUAUGUAAUUCACCGUUAACUUGCACAAACUCUUCUCUUAAUAAGGAACAAGCGAAACUUGUUACACAGGUAAUCCUAACGUCUAACGUCAAAGUGCGCGGGCCGCGGACCGUUCAUUAUUAUUUUACCGUGAGAAACUGUUCGCGCACGGCGAACACUGCAUUACAAUUAGCAUUGCGGCCGUCGUAUGUUAAUUAAAGUAAUAACCGAGAUACGCUCGGCCGCCCCGAAGUCAGAACACUUUAAUCCGGCGUUCCGCGCCCCGAGAAAAUAUUAUACGCGGCGAUAAAACUUGUUAUUGUUAAGUUGGGUCGGAAAAAUUGCAGCUGCGCCCAAGCGCUGAAUUUCUCGGCAAUCGCAUUAAUUGCGGAAACGCGACUUGCAUCGCGUGCUAUUAUCAUUUCUCCACACUCCUCCGUACUUUGCUCGAGAAGUAAGAGUUUCAUUUCCUGAAAUGUCAGUUAAGUCAAUUUGAUUCACGUCAUGUUUAUGUCGUCAUUUGCAGGACCUUAGUCUUGAUUCGAAUUAUCUUGUAAGGGCUAAACGUACAUGGAAAAUCUCGUUUAAUUUAUCACGUAUAAAUCUCUUUAUAUUAUCCACCAUCAAUUUUAUUUGUUCCGGAUAGAAGAGAAAUCAUCAUUGUGUUGUCGAGACUUGACGAGCUAUCUCCUUCGUCAUUGCUUGUAAUCAUUAGUGUUCCACAGGUGUGUGCUUUUUGUCGAUGCCUCUCGUAAAGCUUCUCAUCUUUCCUUGCUUCCCCUGACCCGGUUGCUUAAAACGCUUGUUCUUCUAUGAAGCUUUUUAUGCCUUUCGUGUGUUAAAACACAUCCUAAAGCGCCACUUUGCCGUAAAUUCGUACAUCAGCGACUCAAAUGGGCAAGAAUCAUUCUGUAUGCGCGUCUUUUCGCUGACUUUUGUUAUUCCUUUAACUUAUUUGUUGAAAGAUUAUUGAAUGUCCGAAUGUUCAGCAUUAUUAACAUCAUUGUGGAAGGAUCGUACAUACUUUGCACAUUUCUGCAACAAUAUAUUUUUAUUAACACAUACAAGCAACGAUUAAAAAAUAAUGUUGAAGUACACAGAAUAAAUUAAUCUUUUGUUGUUUGACGACAAAGAUAAAUUAUGCAUGAUGUUAGCCGGUCGAGACCGAUUCGAGACUUUUGAAACAACGUUAAUUACUUGAUGGUCUUAAUUGAAAUCUUACUUAAGGAGAGCACUUCGAGCUUGUUUCUGAAAUUAGUGGCUUCCGUUCUCCCACGUCAUGCAUUCACACGUCAUCUUGAUGUCGUCAUGCAUGGUGAUCGAUACAAUACUAUUACUUAUUUCGGAGUGACUGUUAUUCAUUACAAUUUGGAAGGAGACAAGCUAUUCUUAUGUAUCACUUAUCUCAAUUUUUAAUUUAUCUGAUUGUAAAGAUUUUACGUAAAUAUGCGAAGAAUUUAUAUCUGAAUUUUGUUUUUAAAUAUCUUUCUAAUAGAAUAUAAUAUUAUAAUGGAACGUGAUGCAAGUAAUUUAUCAAUCAAUUUAGAAAA
rnacentral:misc_RNA from 1 species